rnacentral:rRNA from 1 species
UACAGGGGGUGCAAACGUUGCUCGGAAUCAUUGGGCGUAAAGCGCACGUAGGCGGUUCGUUAUGUCGGAUGUGAAAGCCCUUGGCUUAACCGAGGAAGUGCAUCCGAAACUGGCGAGCUAGAGUACGAAAGAGGAUCGCGGAAUUCCCGGUGUAGAGGUGAAAUUCGUAGAUAUCGAGAGGAACACCGGUGGCGAAGGCGGCCAACUGGACGAACACUGACGCUGGAGACGCGAAAGCGUGGGGAGCAAACAGG